rnacentral:rRNA from 1 species
UUAAAUUGAGAGUUUGAUCCUGGCUCAGGAUGAACGCUGGCGGCGUGCUUAACACAUGCAAGUCGAGCGAUGAAGUUUCCUUCGGGAAACGGAUUAGCGGCGGACGGGUGAGUAACACGUGGGUAACCUGCCUCAUAGAGUGGAAUAGCCUUCCGAAAGGAAGAUUAAUACCGCAUAACGUUGAAAGAUGGCAUCAUCAUUUAACCAAAGGAGCAAUCCGCUAUGAGAUGGACCCGCGGCGCAUUAGCUAGUUGGUGGGGUAACGGCCUACCAAGGCGACGAUGCGUAGCCGACCUGAGAGGGUGAUCGGCCACAUUGGGACUGAGACACGGCCCAGACUCCUACGGGAGGCAGCAGUGGGGAAUAUUGCACAAUGGGGGAAACCCUGAUGCAGCAACGCCGCGUGAGUGAUGAAGGUUUUCGGAUCGUAAAGCUCUGUCUUUGGGGAAGAUA